UACGUAGGGGGCAAGCGUUGUCCGGAAUCAUUGGGCGUAAAGAGCGUGUAGGCGGCCAGAUAAGUCCGCUGUGAAAUCUCGAGGCUCAACUUCGAGCUGGCGGUGGAAACUGUCUGGCUAGAGUACGGAAGAGGAGAAUGGAAUUCCUGGUGUAGCGGUGAAAUGCGCAGAUAUCAGGAAGAACACCCGUGGCGAAGGCGGUUCUCUGGGACGGUACUGACGCUGAGACGCGAAAGCGUGGGGAGCGAACAGG
rnacentral:rRNA from 1 species